AGUGAACGCUGGCGGUAGGCCUAACACAUGCAGGUCGAACGGCAGCACAGUAAGAGCUUGCUCUUACGGGUGGCGAGUGGCGGACGGGUGAGGAAUACAUCGGAAUCUACUUUUUCGUGGGGGAUAACGUAGGGAAACUUACGCUAAUACCGCAUACGACCUACGGGUGAAAGCAGGGGAUCUUCGGACCUUGCGCGAUUGAAUGAGCCGAUGUCGGAUUAGCUAGUUGGCGGGGUAAAGGCCCACCAAGGCGACGAUCCGUAGCUGGUCUGAGAGGAUGAUCAGCCACACUGGAACUGAGACACGGUCCAGACUCCUACGGGAGGCAGCAGUGGGGAAUAUUCGACAAUGGGCGCAAGCCUGAUCCAGCCAUACCGCGUGGGUGAAGAAGGCCUUCGGGUUGUAAAGCCCUUUUGUUGGGAAAGAAAAGCAGCAGGUUAAUACCCCGCUGUUCUGACGGUACCCAAAGAAUAAGCACCGGCUAACUUCGUG
rnacentral:rRNA from 1 species